CUUCCCUCCGGUGCUACCCUCUCCCGCUCACAUCCUUGCGUGCCGGUGGAUGUUUUCUCUCUUCGUAGCAGAACUCGACUGAAAAUGAAGCGAGAGCUGCUCUUGAGGAAGAAAACGAUUGCUUCUGCCUUCUCCGAUCGGGGAUCGUAGUUAAUUAAGUGAAGCCCAUUUUGGAUCGCGUCCAGUUGUAUCAUGACUCCACUAAAGACAAAUGAUACCACUGCAUGAAUAACUUCAGAGUGGAUUAUCACUUGCCGUUCGUGUAACGAACCAAUGCCUGGGUCAUCCAAAUGGGCAAAUCGUUGCUGUAUCAGAGACUUGUCAAAGGAGUCAAGAUUUGAUUUCAUGUAACUGAAAUACAUCUGAGAAUGAUAUUUCUGAUAUGUGUGUAAAUGUAGGGAGAGCAUUUCCUAGCCUCCCUAUAGCACUUCUACCUCAAGGCCUCAGGGGCAGCAGGAGAAUGACUCUUCUUUUGCUGCCUGCCUGAGAAAUCUCCAAGUCUCCAUCCUGUUUCCUGACCCAGAACUAGUGAAUAUUCUUGAAUGUCUAGUGAUAUUCCCUUGAAAAAAAGCUGGAAAAGAUUGCCAAGAAGCUAAGUGAACCAGUUAGGCAUUGCCUUUGCCUUAAAAAAAUCACCCAACAAGAAAUGGCAUUGCAUUACCUUUCCUUUUUGGGAAAUCUGGAUAUUGGGGGCUCAGAGAUUUUCCAACAUAAUUCAUCUGAUAAUGCAUUUGGACAAAUAGAUUUGGAUCCUUUGGGAUUAUUAAUUUACGCUGUUGCUUUUAGAGUGUAAAGUCAACUUAGAAGAGAAAAUAAAGAACAGAAAAGACCUUCUGGAGUACACAUAAUAUGAACCCAGUGUGUUUUGUAUUCCUUUCUCUUUUUGCAUUAAAGACCCUGUAGCUUCUGUUUUUAAGUGAGCUUCUCAAGCACUGGAAUUAACCCUCAGGUCUUAAUCAGUGGAACUUUUGCCUCUAGCUUCUCUGGUGAAGGACAUGAAGUGAGGAUAUGUCUACAGUAUGCAACCUGAUAUAAUAAAAAAAAGGAAAGCCUCAUGGGUAGAAAAAGCUACAACUACAUAUUAUGGGAUAGCAUCCUGCCUUAGGAUCAGUUGCAAAAAUAUUUUCUUCAUCGUGUGCUGCCGUGAAAGACAUUAGCUGCUUAUAAGAUCAUUGAAUGCCUGAACUGACAGUAAUCGAAGGAGUUGUAUUCAUGGCUGUAUUUUGGAAGUGCAGAGCCAGGAUCUGUAUUACUGACUUCAGAAUAUGAGAGAGACAGAAUGCAUCCUUUGGGAAUAAUUUAAAAUAGGUAUGUGCACGAAUCCUUCUGAUCCAUGUGAUUGCAUGGCUGUAUAUAAAGGACAAACUGGCCUUUUUUUUUUCUUCCCUGAGACAUCUCUGCAAACUAUCUGAAGGUUUAUACUGUCAUUAAAAGUGCUACUCACGUCCAUGUUCUGUGUUUUGUUUGCAGCUUUAGGGAAAAAAAAAAACCUCAAACAAUCAAACAACUUUGCAGUCAUGAAUCACCUUUCAUAUGUUGUUCUUAGGAUACCUAACAAGCAGUAAAUUAAGACUGAGAAAAAAGUGUCCCUUACCCUUCCCAUCAUCAUCAUCUGAGCUGUAAAAAUGAGGCAGAGAGAAAUGAUGUCUCACUGGUGAUUUUAAUACAAUUUUUUAUGACUUUUUUUAUCAUUAGUGGUACAAGAAACAUGGAUAAUUCAUCUCUGGAGGAGGUUAGAAAAUACUUGUCUCUUUUGGAUGUCUUGGAAACAUUUUUUGACCUGCCAACAUCAGUUGGAGUUUGCUGCUGGUUUCUAUGAGGGCAGGGUUUCCUCCUCUGUGUAAGAAGUCAAUUUUCUUUGAAUAGUCGCUUACUAAUGGGUUUCCUCUGUUUGUGAGGAUCUAGCAUGUCUGAUACAUGCACAAACAAGUUUUGGUUUGUGUUGUAGUAUUGGAAGAUACCACAAUAAUUAAAACCAUGUUAGGAUCAGAACCUAUAAAUAUUUAAUUUUUUUUUAAAGCCCAAAUCCAUGUUUCAUUGGUGGUACUGUGCUGUGUAUGCAGUGCAUAAACUUGGAAAUGAGAGAGUUCUAAGUGAUGAAGUGGAACCAAGACUUCCACCAGGCCUUUUUUUCUUCAGUAAUUAGUUGUGGUGGAAAAAGAGCUUCCAUUUUUGUCAAGUGUAGGUCAGAAUGUGGCUUCAAAAUACAGCUUUGCCCAUUUUGUAAUUGUGUAGCUCUUUUCACUUUAUGUUUAUCUCUAGAAAUGAGAUGAACUUUAGAAGUAUCGUACCGUCUUGUCGCAUCAAUUUUAUAUGCUUAGUAGUAAACCAAGUAUAAAUUGAUCUUGCUGACAUUGCAAGAUUUAUUUUCAGUAUACAUAGGCUGGAUUGUAUUCUCAUGAGUUUUUCCCAUGACACAUUUGUUGAUACAAACAUUUAUUACAGUUCCUUCAGAAAUACGUGUUUGUAAAGUUUUCCAGUGGAGAAAGAGGAAUUUGAAGUUCAUUUACUUUUUUUAAUGUAUACUCAUGAUUAGCAGUGUAUAUGUUUGCCUUUGUGGAAAUAUACAUGCAUGCUGGGAAAUCUGAUCUUUGUAUUCCAAAACCUCUGUAUGUCAAGUGGAGGAGGACAUUAAUAUUUGUGUUCUUCUUUGCAAAGGAUGAAAAAAUGGUGGUGUAUUAAAAAUAAGGGUUAUGAUUAAUUAAAUGGGUUAAAACUUCAGAUUGUGGUGGUGUGCCCGCAGAGUACAGGAAAUAGGGUGGGGAAUAAAAAGAAAUGCUUCUGGAAAGCUUGGAGUGGACUGUAAUGCUCUUGCAUGCUAGCAAGGAAGUUUUUAAUCAGUUACUGAAAUGAUGAAGGUGUCAUUGCAGAUGUACGAAAAUAAAUACUAAUUUCCCUUCACAUGAACAUGUGAGCAGAAGAUCUGGAAUAUUUUAAGACUGUUCAGAUUUGGAGGAUAAUACAGAAAUGGUAUACAGUAUACUGGCCUGAAUAUAGAAAUUUCUGACUAUGUUCUUCAUUUGCAAAAAAGGUAAAAAAUGUGGCAGAAAAGUCUGCCUCUGUAGAAGGGUAAACAGCAGACAACCAUGCCUGGGGGAGUUCUCCCUGGUUUAGGUAGAGAGGCUGUGGCGCGUUGUGGUCAAAAAAGAGUAGGGACAUGGUGAGCGAGCUGCACUGAGCUCAAUGGUUAUUUGGAGUAACAUUUGGAAUAACAUGGGAUUUUCCAUGUCCCAUAGUUGCUGCAAAAAUUAUCUGUUGUCACACUCUGCAUUGCUUACUCAUAUUUCAAAUGCAAAUUUGAUUUGUCAUUCCUAAGGGUGUUGUAAAGUCUUGCCAUUUUCAUUAAGUAGCCCUUCCUCUUUCCCCAUAUGUUUGAGUUUCACAGUCUUUUUUUGGAUACUGUCAUUUGGAAGGAAGUGGAAUAUUUGACAGGCAAAUGGUCAAGCUCUUCUCUGGUGCAGGUGGUGUUUUGCAAGAAGUGGGAGACAGAUUUACAAACUGAGGAAAUGCAGUAUAACAGCACUUCCUUUAAAUCUUAAAUUACCUUGAAAUUAAUCACUACUGAUAUCUUUGCAUUUAUAUGCAAGAUAACAUUGUUUUGCAUGCUGAAAUAUUGUUAGAUUUUGCUUAGAAGGAAGUCACUUCUGUGAAAUGAAAUGAAGUGAUGCCAUGAAAUAACAGUGUCUGUAUCUAUUUCAAGAAUCUAAUAAAAAUGUGUCU